rnacentral:rRNA from 1 species
GGAGGGUGCAAGCGUUGUUCGGAAUCAUUGGGCGUAAAGCGCGUGUAGGCGGCCAAGUAAGUCUGAUGUGAAAGCCCGGGGCUUAACCCCGGAAGUGCAUUGGAUACUGCUUGGCUAGAGGGCGAGAGGGGGAAGCGGAAUUCCAGGUGUAGGGGUGAAAUCCGUAGAUAUCUGGAGGAACAUCGGUGGCGAAGGCGGCUUCCUGGCUCGCAUCUGACGCUGAGACGCGAAAGCGUGGGUAGCAAACAGGGAUUAGAUACCCUGGUAGUCCACGCCCUAAACGAUGGAUACUAGUCGUCGGGUUUCCCUAAUAGACUCGGUGACGUAGCUAACGCAUUAAGUAUCCCGCCUGGGGAUUACGAUCGCAAGAUUAA